UACGUAGGGUGCAAGCGUUGCUCGGAAUCACUGGGCGUAAAGCGCACGUAGGCGGCUUACUAAGUCAGGGGUGAAAUCCUGGAGCUCAACUCCAGAACUGCCUUUGAUACUGGUAGCUCGAGUCCGGGAGAGGUGAGUGGAACUGCGAGUGUAGAGGUGAAAUUCGUAGAUAUUCGCAAGAACACCAGUGGCGAAGGCGGCUCACCUGGCCCGGUACUGACGCUGAGGUGCCGGUGAAAGCGUGGGGGAGCCAAAACAGGG
rnacentral:rRNA from 1 species